AGUAACGGCGAGUGAAGCGGUAACAGCUCAAAUUUGAAAUCUGGCUCCCUGCGGAGUCCGAGUUGUAAUUUGUAGAAGAUGCUUUGGGUGCACGAUCCGGCCUAAGUGCCUUGGAACAGGACGUCGUAGAGGGUGAGAAUCCCGUAUGCGGCCGGUUUCGACGCCCGUGUAAAGCUCUUUCGACGAGUCGAGUUGUUUGGGAAUGCAGCUCAAAAUGGGUGGUAAAUUUCAUCUAAAGCUAAAUAUGGGCCAGAGACCGAUAGCGCACAAGUAGAGUGAUCGAAAGAUGAAAAGCACUUUGGAAAGAGAGUUAAACAGUACGUGAAAUUGUUGAAAGGGAAGCGCUUGCAACCAGACUUGGGCGUCGCUGAUCAUCCAAAGUUCUCUUUGGUGCACUCGACGACGCACAGGCCAGCAUCGGUUGGGGUGGUGGGAGAAAGACUGCAGGAACGUAGCUCUUUUCGGAGAGUGUUAUAGCCUGCGGUGCAAUACCGCCUACCGCGACCGAGGACCGCGCUUCGGCUAGGAUGCUGGCGUAAUGGUUGUAAGCGACCCGUCUUGAAACACGGACCAAGGAGUCUAACAUCUAUGCGAGUGUUUGGGUGCGAAACCCAUGCGCGAAAUGAAAGUGAACGUAGGUGAGAACCCUUUAAGGGGGCAUCAUCGACCGAUCCUGAUGUCUUCGGAUGGAUUUGAGUAAGAGCAUAGCUGUUGGGA
rnacentral:rRNA from 1 species